CUGUCAUAAACAAAAUUGAUCAGCCCACUGCUGAUCCAGAUAGGGUAAAAGCACAGCUCAAAUCCAUGUUUGACCUUGAUCCCUGUGAUGCACUAUUAACAUCUGCAAAAACAGGUCAAGGUCUAGAGCAGGUUCUACCUGCUGUGAUAGAGCGAAUUCCUCCACCUCCUGGUAGAAGCACUUCACCUUUGCGAUUGCUUUUGCUGGAUUCAUAUUAUGAUGAGUACAAAGGAGUUAUCUGCCAUGUGGCUGUUGUUGAUGGUGCUUUGCACAAGGGUGACAAGAUUUCCUCUGCUUCCACUGGCCAAAGUUAUGAAGUUUCUGAUGUUGGUAUUUUGCACCCGGAACUUGUACCUACAGGAAUCCUUUUAACAGGUCAAGUUGGAUUCAUGGUCAGCGGCAUGCAGCGAUGCACUAUUAACAUCUGCAAAAACUGGUCAAGGUCUAGAGCAGGUUCUACCUGCUGUGAUAGAGCGAAUUCCUCCACCUCCUGGUAGAAACACUUCACCCUUGCGAAUGCUUUUGCUGGAUUCCUAUUAUGAUGAGUACAAAGGAGUUAUCUGCCAUGUGGCUGUUGUUGAUGGUUCUCUGCACAAGGGUGACAAGAUUUCCUCUGCUGC
rnacentral:lncRNA from 1 species